GCUUGUGCGCGUGCUUCUUGCCUUCGCUGGUCUUCUUAUAUUUUCUCCCCCGGGCCAGUUUGCGCAGGAAAAGAAACCAACAGGGAUUGCCUUAGUAACUGCGAGUGAAGCGGCAAAAGCUCAAAUUUGAAAUCUGGCAUCUUCGGCGUCCGAGUUGUAAUUUGGAGAGAUUUCUUCGGGGUGAACACCGGUCCAAGUUCCUUGGAACAGGACGUCACAGAGGGUGAGAAUCCCGUGUCUGACCGGUUGCUUCAUUCCAUGUGAAGAGUCUUCGACGAGUCGAGUUGUUUGGGAAUGCAGCUCAAAAUGGGUGGUAAAUUUCAUCUAAAGCUAAAUAUUGGCGAGAGACCGAUAGCGCACAAGUAGAGUGAUCGAAAGAUGAAAAGCACUUUGAAAAGAGAAUUAAAAAGUACGUGAAAUUGUUGAAAGGGAAGCGCUUGAGACCAGACUCAAUUUGUGGUGAACAUCAGUCCUUCUGGGCUGUGCACUUGCCACUUUUUGGGCCAGCAUCGGUUCUGACCGUGUGAUAAAGGUCCUGGGAAUGUAGCUCCUCUCGGGGAGUGUUAUAGCCCAGGGCGUAAUGACAUGAGUUGGGACCGAGGACCGCGCUUCGGCUAGGAUGCUGGCAUAAUGGUCUUCAGCGACCCGUCUUGAAACACGGACCAAGGAGUCUAACAUCUAUGCGAGUGUUCGGGUGGAAAACCCUUGCGCGUAAUGAAAGUGAACGGAGGUGGGAACCCCUCGGGGUGCACCAUCGACCGAUCCUGAUGUUCUCGGAUGGAUUUGA
rnacentral:rRNA from 1 species